AGAACUCAACUUUGAGGCUAACACCACAGGCACCUACUUGUGUGAGGAGGCAAUUUUUCUGAGCUUUAGAAAAGAGGGAAAGGUGAUUUAAGGCAAGUAAAGAACUCAAACCAGCUCUGGAGUUAACGGCACGGAAGGCCGCGUGUGAGAGGAGGCGAUCUCCUCAGCUUCUUCAGAAGAGAGGGAAAGACAGUAUAAGACAAAUGUUGAAAGCCAGAGACAUAGGAGAGCUUCAUUCUUUCAGGAUUGAUAACCUAAACCAACUUUGGAGUUAAUGACACAGAAUCCUGCUUGUGUGAGGAGGUGAUAUUCUCAGCUCGUUCAUAAGAGAGGGAAAGGUGGUUUAAGGC